GCUCGGCAGCCCAUCCUGCAUCACUUCAGUGGACUUCUCUGACAUCUACUAGACCACAUUAAAUGAAUCACAGCCUUGAAACUGAACUGGAAGGACUUCCUUCAAUUUAUCUAAUUCCUGUUGGACAGUGUAAAAUGCCACUUCUUCCAGGGUUGCCUGCAUAUCAUCAAAAGGGAAAUAGUACUCAUCGAAGAUGUGCCUUUGCUAGGAACUAGGACAAGGGUGGCCUUUAUAAAUUCAUGAAGAGAAGGAGCCAGCAUAUGAACUUGCUGCCUAUCUUUAGCAAGGAGAUGCAAAUGACAUCCACAAACCUCUUCUGCUGUAUACCUGGAUGAAAGCAAGGCUAGCUGUGUGUCCGAUGGCACCAAGGACUGAAAGAUUGUAAGAAGUAAGAGUAAGUAAAUUUUUAGCUGCUAUAUUCCCUAAUAGCUAGACUUUAAAAGUAUUUUUAACUCUUUUCCUCUAUUCUUGCUAGGUGAACAAGGCUAAAACCUGGGUUUAGUUUUCAUUUUAUAAAUUAUUCUUUAAAAAUAAAUUAUUUCAACUGUCUUGAAGAGUCUGUAAAACAAGGUCUGUGAAGUCACAGAGGGAAAAAGAAUCAGAAAUCAGUAGACAGCAGUUAGACCACGGGUGUUUGUUAUACAUUCGUUCUAGACAUUCAUCAAAAGCUCAGAAAGGGAAAGUCAAGCGUGCCAAAUCAAUAAAGUUUCUAUCGUAUUUCGGGGAAAGUGAUCCAAAAAGGUGGAACACCUAAUGUACAGCCCCAAGGAAGGAGCAUACUUGGAGAAUUCAAGGAACAGAAAGAAAAACAGGAAGGCUGGAGUGAAACUGAUUAAAUAAAGCAUCGUAACAUUAGAGGUCCAUCAUAGAGGCCAAGCCAAAUACAACUAUGUUUUCAAGCAUAAGAUGGAUAGAUGUGGUAAACCACAAGAAGCAAACAGCCCUUUAGAGGUGUGGAUUGACCUUGCAGAGUUACAAGUGGAGCCAGGAGAAAUCAUGUUGAGUGGGACUUCUCAUCCUACCUAAGAGAGACUAACAGAUGGAAAGCUGGGUACAGAAGGGAGAGAAGGCAGUAACAGUCAGAUUUCAAUACGCUGAGACUGUGACGUGGGACUUUUGAGUGAGUAACAUCUGCUCCUAGAACUGAGUUGAGUGGGGAUCCUCCCACAGUGACCUACAUCCAAAGUGAAAAGUUAUUCAGCCUCUGAAGAGAAGCAUUUUGUUUGGGGAUCUUCAAGUAUGCUUGUCAGAAGAAGAAAUUUGAACACAGCCACAUACAGGGGGAAGACAAUGUAAAGACACAGGAUGAAGGUGGCCAUCUACGCACCGAGAACUGGAAAAAAAUCUCUGAUUGUCCUGCAGCAAUGGCAUUAAAGGCUCCUCAUAACAUACAGAACCAGAAUUGUGCCAUAAUUUACUGAAAUUGAACAUUGCUCUGUGACUGCUAAUUUUCCAUCGAGAUGAUUCUGUCUCUAACCAAGAAAAGAAAAGUUUGUCUUCCUGACUGCUGACACUGCUGACCAAGCCCACCACCAGAUGCCUGGCUGCACACCCAGAGGGCAGCCGCUUCCCGUGGUCCUCUCGAAGAACUUCCCUUUUGCAAUGCAUGUUUAGCAAGUGGAUGAGUUUGUCUUUUCUGAUUUCUCUGCAAGCUCUGCAUUGCCCACCUGAACCAGUGCUUCAGAAGAACUAAUGGGAUCUCUGACCCUCCAACAUCCUCUUCCAGACUUUCACUUUCCUGGCUCCUU
rnacentral:lncRNA from 10 species